GAUCAUGGCUCAGGAUGAACGCUGGCGGCGUGCCUAAUACAUGCAAGUCUAACGCUUCACUUCGGUGAAGAGUGGCGAACGGGUGAGUAAUACAUAAGUAACCUGGCAUCUACAGGGGGAUAACUGAUGGAAACGUCAGCUAAGACCGCAUAGGUGUAGAGAUCGCAUGAACUCUAUAUGAAAAGUGCUACGGGACUGGUAGAUGAUGGACUUAUGGCACAUUAG
rnacentral:rRNA from 1 species